rnacentral:rRNA from 1 species
ACGGGCGAGUAAUACAUAUUUAACUUACUUCCGCGAGUAGGAUAGCAGCCCGAAAGGGCUAUUAAUACUACAUAGGUUUAUGGACUUGUAAAUUAAAGGAGGCGCCCUCGGGAGCCUCGCGCGGAAAAGGGAAUAUGUCCUAUUAGGUAGUUGGCGGGGUAAAGGCCCACCAAGCCAAUGAUGGGUAGCUGGACUGAGAGGUUGAACAGCCGCAAUGGGAUUGAGAUAUGGCCCAUAUUCCUACGGGAAGCAGCAGUGAGGAAUUUUUCACAAUGGACGAAAGUCUGAUGGAGCAAUACCACGUGAACGAUGAAGGUCUUCUGAUUGUAAAGUUCUUUUAUUUAGGAAAAAAAGCGCGCUAGGAAAUGAGCGCGCCUUGAUGGUACUAAUUGAAUAAGUGACAGCUAACUAUGUGCCAGCAGCUGCGGUAAAACAUAGGUCACAAGCAUUAUCCGGAUUUAUUGGGCGUAAAGGAAGCGUAGGCGGGGAGGCUGAUCCAUUGUUAAAGGCAUUUGCUCAACAAAUGUGUGCGAUGGAGAUCUCCUCCCUAGAGUUAAUCAGGGGGUACUGGAAUUCAAUGUGUAGCGGUGGAAUGCGUAGAUAUAUUGAGGAACACCAGAGGCUAAGGCGAGUACCUGGGAUAUAACUGACGCUGAGGCUUGAAA